UGGAGCAUGUGGUUUAAUUCGUACGAUACGCGAAGAACCUUACCUGGCCUUGACAUACUAAAAAGCUUUAAGAGAUUAGAGUGUGCUAGCUUGCUAGAAUUUAGAUACAGGUGCUGCACGGCUGUCGUCAGCUCGUGUCGUGAGAUGUGGGUUAAGUCCCGCAACGAGCGCAACCUCGUGUUUAGUUGCUAACAGUUCGGCUGAGAACUCUAAACAGACUGCCUACGCAAGUAGGAGGAAGGUGAGGACGACGUCAAGUCAUCAUGGCCCUUACGGCCAGGGCUACACACGUGCUACAAUGGGGUAUACAAAGAGCAGCGAUACGGUGACGUGGAGCAAAUCUAGAAAAUGCCUCUCAGUUCGGAUUGUAGUCUGCAACUCGACUACAUGAAGUUGGAACCGCUAGUAAUCGUAGAUCAGCAAUGCUACGGUGAAUACGUUCCCGGGUCUU
rnacentral:rRNA from 1 species